GGCACAAACGUGAAGUAGAGUAGUUGGGUGUGGUCAACUGAUCCUACCAAUCUCUCUACUUCAUGUUUGUGUUC
rnacentral:pre_miRNA from 1 species